AUUGAACGCUGGCGGCCGGCCUAACACAUGCAAGUCGAACGAGUGGCGGACGGGUGAGUAAUGUCUUGGAAACUGCCUGAUGGAGGGGGAUAACUACUGGAAACGGUAGCUAAUACCGCAUACCCUCGGAUGUGCCCAGAUGGGAUUAGCUAGUAGGUUGGGUAACGGCUCACCUAGGCGCCGAUCCCUAGCUGGUCUGAGAGGAUGACCAGCAACACUGGAACUGAGACACGGUCCAGACUCCUACGGGAGGCAGCAGGGGGAAAUAUUGCACAAUGGGCGCAAGCAUGAUGCAGCCAUGCCGCGUGUAUGAAGAAGGCCUGCGGGUUGUAAAGUACUUUCAGCGGGGAGGCGUUACCCGCAGAAGAAGCACCGGCUAACUCCGUGCCAGCAGCCGCGGUAAUUC
rnacentral:rRNA from 1 species